ACGGCAUUAAGGUCUCUAACAAAAUUGUCCUUCAAAAAAAGGGCUAGUUGAGACCAGAGCACCACACUGAGGACUUUUGUCUCCCAGAUUUUGGUAGAAAGAGAAAAGAGAAAAAUGAAAAAUUAUGCAAAUUGAAAUUGAGUUAAUUUUAAUUUAUCAUGGGAUUCAUUAAUUUAUUCCUUAUUGUGACAAUAAGCAGACACACUGUGUUUUUGAGUUUAAAAAACCAUUAAAGUUUACAGGAAACUUUAAAAUAUCACUAGAUAAUUGUUAUUGGAAAACAUUAUUAACACAUAAACACCAACUAUAAAUUCUUAAACAAUGCAAACAUAAAAAAAAUACAAUUAAGAUAAAUAUCAAGCUGUCUCGUCCUAAUUCAAAGGUUUUUUCGAUUGUUUAUCCGUGACUUUGCUAGCUGAAGUUGUUGGCGUGUAGACCGGUAAAGACAGGAAGUGGUUACGGCGUGCCGGUGAAUAAAAAGUCACCUGACCUCAGUCUCCCUUGUAGUUCACAAACUGACCUGUUUCCGUUGUGCUUCCAACCGUUUCACCAAAGAGACUCUUUUUGCUGUCACUGUUGCUGGUGUACAAAAAAAAACUAUAAUCAAUAAGCAAAUAAUCCUCAGCCUAGUGACCCACCAGGUUUAUAAUACACUGGGUGAGUAAAACAUGUUUUAUUGCAACUUUUAUCGCCAUCGCAAAUGUACUAAUUUAGUCUCCGUCACAAGAUCCAGUUUUAUGAGUCUUUGAAACUCAUAAAACUGGAUCUCAGACCUAAGAGAGGAAGUUGUUCUUGAGUUGCAUGUUGGUAUAAAUGUUUCUUACACCAAUUACAACGCAUACAGUUUUGUGAAUACAGGUAAUUUUUUAUUUUCUUAGAAAAAAUGCUACAUUUCCACCUUGUUUGACCAGUCUGUUCUCACUCAGUGUCUUGAAAGAUUCCAUUUUAAAAUGGAUAAGGAGCAAUAUUUGUUUUUGUGGCAGUUUAGUUACCUAAAAAAGACUGAAAAUAAGUUUUAAAUAUUUUUUUCUAUUAUUUUACUGGUAUACAAUAAAUACCAUAACAUAUUGUGAAAAGAUUUACUUAAAUAGCAACAAGCCAAUCACAUUGCAACAACCUUGCAUCAUUCUAUGAGAUGUGCAAUAUGGCGUAAAAUUUUAUUGUGAUAUUCUGUGGCAUUUACUAAUAUAAUGAUAAAAGUCAUGAUAUAAAGGUUAAAGGAUUUUGCAUGGGUUUGACUGCAUUCCACUGUAAACUUGUACAAUCACAAAUGCUGAUGUUGAUUUAAAAGACAGUUUACUGAUUAUUAUAUCAGGUACUUCAAGAGUACAGAAUAUUUUUAUUGCUAAGUGGUGCAUAAUAACUGCAUUUAAUCAUAUUUUAAAGUAUUUUGAUAUUUAUUGUUGCUCACAUGUAACCAAUACUUGGGACAACUGUAACAAUAUUUUUUUAAUCAAAUAUUAUCAUUUAAUCAUCUCAAGUUUGUCUUAAUGAUAAAUUAAAUUUCUCAUUGCAAUAAAAUGAGGCUACAACAGUUGUCCGUCUCUAUUCAGGACUCAACGAUGUCCGUCCUUUUGUCACCAAAGUGUACCCAUCUUCUGAUUGCUACUUUCUGCAGAUCAACACAUCUCUAACUGGCCUCAAACUGGCUUGAGGCCAGUUUUAAACUUUGUUUUAACGGCUUCCACAAGUUGGUGGAACGAGAUCCUCCUGAUAAAAACCUGCUGGGAUCCCAUCAUGUCACCAUGGACCAAAAAUCUCCUCAGGAAUGUUUUUUAACUUGCUCAGUCUGUGUCGCAAUCAGGGGCGGAUUUAGAAGGACGUGGGCCCCGGGGCUAAAGCAAGUUUUGGUCCCCCACCCACACAAAGUUUUGGGUUUUUUUUCACCCGAAUGCAAAUUGUAUUAUACUGAUUGAUGAAUAGGUAGGCCUUCAUUAGUUUAUAUGGAUAUUCAGGUUAACACAACCACUGUCUGAUUUCUCUGUGUUGUUCCUGAAAAUGAAUUAUGACGUAAUUUUAUCUGUUCAAUAUCAUAACAAAUAUAAUCAAUAACAUAUCUAGUGGUGUGGCCGUUUUUUUUGGUUUGUGAUAUAUUUUGGAAAAUGUUGAAGGAACAGUUUUUUCGGUUUAAAAUUUUAAAUCUUUCAGUAAGUUUUAAUCUUGAUUAGAGGGUUAAUGUCACAGCCUUACAUUUUUGUCUUAUUUUUAUUUAUGUUAUCGACUAUCGGUUAUUGAUGUUUGGAAUUAGAAAACUGACAGGUAUUGGUUUCAAUUUUUUUUUUUAAAAGUUGUGCAUCUCUAUUGCUCAUUUAGGUAACUAUCACUAUGACUGCCUGUCACAGAGGCACAGUGGAGCCUCACCUGUUGGGCUGUUUAGUAACAGAUUAUGCUAUCGAUUAUUCUGACAAUCAAUUAAUCUGUAAAAAAAAGAUGUGUCACAUUCCACUAAUUUUUUUAACCACUAAAUCUCUUUUAUACAAUAUAUAAAUACAGUAAACAAUGUCAGUAAACAAAUCUUUUUAAACCCUUUUUAAAUGAAGAAACUAAGCGUUUUACUGCCUAAAAUGCAAUAACGUAUCAUUUCUUUUGUGAAUGCUUGAAAAAUUUGUAGUUAAAAAAUACUUCUAACUUCAAAAUGUGAAAAGCUGAGCUCUCUCUGUAUGACUUAACAUCAGUACAGUGUAGGGCUAAUCUGUUUUUCUUUCAUCAUUUGUAUUUUUUAAAUUUGGAUUAACCAAUUAAUUAAAUAGAAAAAGGUGCUUAAUAGAAGACUUGUUUGUACAGAAUUUGAACCAGGAAAAAGUUAAACUAUGCCACUUACGGAGUAUUGGGUAGAGCGUGUUUGCAGAUAAAGGAGUUUUUUUUUAAGUUGUUUUUUUUAUUUUUUUUUUUAAUGUAUUUUGCAUUUAAAAUACAUAAAAUGCAAAAUACAUUUUGUACAUAAUUGUGCAACCGACUUGUACAAUUUUGGUUUACUGCUCUGAUUAUAUUGCUUUUUCAGAAAAUGUUCCUUUUGGAGUUUGUAUUCUCCAGUUAUGAUUAAUCAAUUACUAAAUUAGUUGACAAUUAAUU